GCCCCAGUUCGGAUUGUAGUCUGCAACCCGACUACAUGAAGCCGGAAUCGCUAGUAAUCGCGGAUCAGAAUGCCGCGGUGAAUACGUUCCCGGGUCUUGUACACACCGCCCGUCACACCAUGGGAGUCGGGAAUGCCCGAAGUCAGUGACCCAACCCAAGGGGAGGGAGCUGCCGAAGGCAGGCCUGGUGACUGGGGUGAAGUCGUAACAAGGUAAC
rnacentral:rRNA from 1 species